rnacentral:lncRNA from 1 species
ACCUCGGUCUCACACCCACAAAGUAAUGGGUUAGCCGAAGUAACUAAUCGGAUCAUAUUGCAGGACCUCCGAACAAGGAUAGGGGACGCCAAAGGUGACUGGCCUGACAUGCUGCCUUCGAUACUAUGGGCAUAUAGGACUUCACACAAGACAGCAACUGGUGAAACGCCAUUCAUGCUUGCUUUUGGACUUAAGGCUACCAUUCCAAUCGAGGUUAGCCUCCCCACAAUAAGAAAGC